rnacentral:rRNA from 1 species
CCCUUAGAUGUUCUGGGCCGCACGCGCGCUACACUGAUGCGAUCAACAAGUUUUUCCUAUGUCGAUAGACACGGGUAAUCUUUUGAACUCGCAUCGUGAUGGGGAUAGAUUAUUGUAAUUAUUAAUCUUCAACGAGGAAUUCCUAGUAGGUGCAAAUCAUCAGUUUGCAUCGAUUACGUCCCUGCCCUUUGUACACACCGCCCGUCGCUGCUACCGAUUGGUUGAUCUGGUGAAUUAUUCGGACUGCCGGCUGAAGGGGUUUCCUCAUCUGCCAGCGGAAAGUCUUGUUAACCCUAUCAACUAGAGGAAGCAGAAGUCGUAACA